rnacentral:rRNA from 1 species
AUGCGGGUGAAUUGUGCGCGGGCCGAUCCUGCCGAGGCGGUCCAUCCGAUUGGGAAGUGGAAAGGGGGGGACACGGGAAGAGGAGGCGCGCGCGCGAGGGGAUCCAGCGCCGCGGGCGAUAAUGGCCGGCGCCUCAUCUGCCGGAAACUGCUCGCAAUCAUACCUCAGUUUCUCAACGCUCAUUCAUGGCGAUUGAUGUGCCAAUUCUUUCCGCUGUCGAGCGGUACAUCUAUAUAUGCUUCCUCCUCUGGUCGCUCACCCUCUCUACUCCGGCAGCAAAACAAUCAUGCCGGGCAGGGUUCCCUGUAUUUCCUUAUUUUGGUUUUCAGUUCAUGUAUGAUUCAUUUUUGCACAAAGCAAUUACAUUUUCUUGAUGUCCUCUCAUACAAAAAAUUUGUGCAUACAGGUGAUGUUCAUGCUAGCGGUGCUCGAUUGAUUUCAUUUUGUAGCUUCGUACUGGAAUUUUUUGGUGUUGGUAAUCUCAAAUCUCUUUGGACAGAAGCAGAGGCCGAUUGUGCUUAUGAACUAGCAGUGCCUAAGGCCAAUAUGUCGCAGUUACAUACAGACCUAUCAGGUUCAUUGGAGUUCUGCUUGAUGGAACUUUCUGUUUGUUGCCACUUUUUCACUAUUAUCUUUUGUGCGUGGGUUUUCUGA